AUUGAACGCUGGCGGCAGGCCUAACACAUGCAAGUCGAGCGGAUGAAGGGAGCUUGCUCCUGGAUUCAGCGGCGGACGGGUGAGUAAUGCCUAGGAAUCUGCCUGGUCGUGGGGGAUAACGUCCGGAAACGGGCGCUAAUACCGCAUACGUCCUGAUGGAGAAAGUGGGGGAUCUUCGGACCUCACGCUAUCAGAUGAGCCUAGGUCGGAUUAGCUAGUUGGUGGGGUAAAGGCCUACCAAGGCGACGAUCCGUAACUGGUCUGAGAGGAUGAUCAGUCACACUGGAACUGAGACACGGUCCAGACUCCUACGGGAGGCAGCAGUGGGGAAUAUUGGACAAAGGGCGAAAGCCUGAUCCAGCCAUGCCGCGUGUGUGAAGAAGGUCUUCGGAUUGUAAAGCACUUUAAGUUGGGAGGAAGGGCAGUAAGUUAAUACCUUGCUGUUUUGACGUUACCAACAGAAUAAGCACCAGCUAACUUCGUG
rnacentral:rRNA from 1 species